AGGGCAGCAAUAUAAUUCCUGCCUGCUAUUCCAAAGCGGAAGCUGAUGUGAUGAAACAGCUUGCCAGUGUAAUUUUAUGUCAAUAUAAAUCCAUCAGAUUUUCUGGCUGUUUCGAUGAAAACUACACCAUCAGAAAAGUGAAGGCAUAACAUCAGGCAAUAUUGUUUUGAAUCUCCAGCUGCUGAGAUGGAGAGACAUGUGAGCAAGUGGGCCAUUGCAAAGGAAAGAAGGAAAAGCGGCACAAUAUUCAGAAAUAAACCAAAUGAAGGAUGCUUUUUGCAAUAAAGCAUGCUUGCAUUUCUAUUCCAUCUUGUGUUGUUGGACUUGAUACUUUAACUUCAAGACUGUAGUCCCACAGACUAAUGGGCAAUGUUUGUUGUAAUAGUGAAGAAGAAUCUUGUGGUACCUUAAAUAGAUCAGCAGAUCUGUGUGUUUACGAAUGGAAGCAUAAUCACAUUGAAGGCACCUCUUCUGCAUCAUCAGUUUGUGAGACAGGAGGCGGUUGUUGCUUGGGGGCUGUGUGUGUGGUGUUGAUCUCUGGACUGGACAGUUUGAGUAAUUGCUUCACAUGAAACAUCCCGAAGUGAUUUAACAGUGAAAACAUCAACAACAAAACCUAUAUGAAUAUAAUUUCCAGGCAAAUGUAUAUAAAGACUGGAAUAGGAAUCUUCACUUAAAAGGCUGGUUGGAAGAAGAAGAUCUGAAAAGACAAUAAAGAUGGCACCUGUCUGAUACUUAAUGGGAGGGAGUUCCAAAGGACUGUGUUUCGCCAAUUUCCUGUUCACAAUGAGUAUCUACAGGGAACCCAAGAAAAUGGCUAACAGGAAGACACCUGCAUCCUUGUUUGUUUUCCUGGAACCAUUGCACAAUAUUAAGACAGCCCCACCCCAAACAAUGCCACUGGAAGUUGGUUGUCUCACUCUGCUGUAUCUCAGAGCCGAUGCUGGUAAUACAUGGAUCUUCAAAAUAGCACUUGAAUUAUGGUGUUUCAUGUUCAUCAUAACAACCACAGUAAAUUAAAAAUGGAUGCCGCAACACACGUUGGAAUGUGGAAAACAAACAGGGGUCAAAAUCAGCUGACCCAAGGGCAAUGGUGAACUCUGCUUUGGAUUAAGAUCGACUUAAGAUCAGUUUCAAGACUAGCACACAGAACACUGAGGCAGCAGCAGAUGGAUAAAAUCUGGUUCACUACAACUUUGAGUAGACAUACCCAAUCCAUCAUUUUAAUAAUUAGACAUUGGUAGAUGAGAAAUAUGGCUUGCCUAAGACUACUCAGGAAGUUUGUUGAAGAGAUGAGAUUGGAACCAUGGACAUUCUGUUAACUACUUUAGCUGUCCAGUUGUUGUGAGCUUCCUAAAUCUCUAAAGUCAAAGCAAGAGGAAAUAUUGAUCACUUGCAGCCCAAUCCUAUGCAUAAUUAUUUGAAGUAAGCUUCAUUGAGUUCAGCGGGCAUACUGCCAUACAAGUAUAUACAGGUUGUGUGUUUGAGGCUUGGGAAAACUUAAUUUUUCUACUCGUUACCAUAAGCUACUUGUGUGCAACAACAAAAUCCAGUUUUCAAAAUGUCAGCUUUUUUUUUUUAAAAGGAAGUGAUUAUAUCUAAGGACAAAAUCAUGUCACUGAAUUAAAAGGCUACACCAUUAACUUCUACUUUUAGACUUUUCCAUGAAAUGAGAUUCUGUCUGCAACAAUGAAAAACACACACACCCUAACUCAAGACCAUGUGGUGGCUGCUAUUUUUGGUGUGACACUCUUUUGAACUCAGAACUGAUGUCAAUUGCCUGCUUUUUCUUUACCUUAAGAAGAAGAUGGAGAGAGAAUGAGAGAAAGCCAGUUGGGAUGGACAGAAGAUUUUUUUUUUUUUAGGAAGAAAUUCUGGAUUUGGAAUACUGUGAUAAAAAUGAAAAAACAGCAAAAAAAAAAGGUUCACAUUUAUUUAACAUAAAGCAGAUAACCAAGUGACAUAAGAAGAGUCCUGCUGGAUGAAAACGAAAGACCCAUCUAGCCCAGCAACCUGUUCCCGUUGGUGGCCAACCAGAAGCUCCUAGGAAACCCACAAGCAGGGCAUGAAGUCUGCUCGCCUGUCAAGGAGAUGUGGAAAUGUGCUGGCAUUCCACCUGAAGAAAUCAUUAUGAGUGAGAAAAUGCUCAAGUCCUUUUUUCAAAGUGGAUGCUGAAAGAGACGCUUUCCUUCUUUGACUCCAGGGGAUGCUGAUAGCUGCCCCAGCAGACAGGUACUGUAGGGUCAGAAGCUACCAUUGGUAUGUGUGUAUGUGUGUACAUGCAUUUCUGCACCCUAAGGAUUUUAUUGGAAGGCAGGUAAGUGGAUAAAAAUAUUAAUAAUGAUAUACUGCACAAAAGGAAGAAAUUGACAACAAAGGAAAAACAACCUGCAAGAAAUGAAUUCUGGGCAGCACAAUGUUUGGCAGAAGUGAUUUUAAUAUCUGACAGGCUGAGUUCCUUAAUUUUUGCUAUUGAUAUUGACAGGAAGCUUCAUAUGGUUUUAGAGAUUUGUAUCUAUUAAGACAUGCCUCGGUGUUCCUACAACAUGGGAACAAGUUUGCUGAAGAUCACUGUUCUUCUUUCCCUGUGAUAAAAAUUGAUAUGAACUGUUUUAAACUGCUAGAAGAUAAUUACUCUGAACACUCAAUAAGGAAAGCUGUAUCUUUAGAGCCUUCCUUUAUCUUUAAAAAAAGAUCCACUCCCCCCCUCUUUUGUUUCUUUGAUUACUUGGAGCUUUGUAAUCAAACUAAGCUUAGUUUCAGGACCCUUGGGGCAGUAUCUCUUAGUUCCCUGUCAAGCUGCGUUGCAAAACAAUCAAUCUUGCUCUUGCACUCUCUUGACGGAAGUGCCAGGACACGAAGAGUGUAAUGCUUUGCUCUUGCCGUGAAGCCUCAAUGACAAAAGUUUUUAUAAGAAGCUGACUGUAUUUAGGGUUAUGAAUAUGCAAUGACUCUCAUUAGUAUUGAAGCACAGGAGCAGGGGCUGACAUCCCCUCCCCGCCACUUUGAGCUGCUGCAGAAUUGUCUAAUGAAUUGUCUUGCUCUUUCACUUGCACAGGCUUUUUCUGUUGUGGCUCCCAGUUCCAAGGGGAGUUGCCCAGUUUGAGAAUGCUAUUGACUGCAGAAAUUAAUUGCCAAGAGCUGCUCUGGAUUUUGUUAAACAAUCUUGAGACAGUGUUCAAAUUGUCAAAACAGAAAGUCAUUCAACUCUACAUGAGAUAAAAUCAACAUGAGGGAGGGGACCUAUGUGCCAGUUAUUCUGGACACACACUCUGUUCAUAUGUACAGUACUGAAUGUUGCAUGUGUAUCUGCAAUACACACACAUGCAUUCCAAGAUACAAGACUGACACUGGGUCAAAUCAAGUCACAGGUAUCUCACAUUCCAUUGGUUUGGCACUUUGUCUUCUCAGUAGAACAAAGAGAGGUGACUGAAGGAUCUCAGAAUGACAGCUAUUCACACAACACAAAGCUCACUCUCACUCUCUCCCUGCUCUUUCUGUCUGAGCCCCCACCAAACAUUUUGUGGUUCAUAAAUACACAAUCUUCUAUGAAUCUGAUGCUGAUAAUAAUGUUUCCAACAACUGAUUAAGGAACUGAUGUGUAGUAUAUGAGAAGCUGCAAAACAUGCUUGGCUCCAUGCCUCAGCUAGUUAAAUUAAAAGCUUCUGUCCUUGUUGUAGUCCACUCAUUUAUUUCAAAAAACAAAGCAAAGGGAGUUUGGUGCUCCCCACAGGUUGUGAUGAUAGGAAUGAAUGAAAACUGAUAAGCUGUUCUAAAGAGGCAUAAGUAGCAGACUGAAGAAAUGUACAUAUAGAAUGAAGAGCCUUCCUUUUCAGGGUGGUGGUGGUUUCGUGUACUUCUUAAUUUAUUUAAUUUGGAAGGAGUGCAGCUGCACAGAAAAGGCAAAGAGUUGUUACCUUUUUAUCUGGGGGGGGCCAGAGCAAUAUCUUUGCUUACCCUUUGACCCACCUCCACCAGUGUCCAGUUUCAUGUUUCCAUCUUCUGUGGAACCUUCCCUAUAUACAAGAAUGCAGUUUAAGAAUAAAUGCAGUUCUGACAAAAGUGACGCAAGUAUCAUACAUCAAACACUUGUUACCUCUCUUGGCCUUAGUGAUUGCACAUGACUAAGAACAAGUCAGUGAUAAAAUCUGAAGAAAGAUGAAACCAAUCUUGGCCUUUUUAAAGACCAUCAAUCAUUCUGUGCAACCAUGAUAUUAUUAGCUCAAGUAAGUUUUGUUCUCCUAUUUAAUGGACAUCAUAAACCCCCCAUCCUCUUCCUAUCCUGAGACCAAUGCUACCAUGGGAAAUUAUUUUUAUGGGCAAUAUCUUAGUAGGGAACCAAUCAGAUCUAAUAACAUAACAAGCUACUGAAUUAUUCAACAUUUUCCCUAAAUUUGCAUUCUAGUUCUUUGCUGUCAACCCAUACUGCUAAAAAUAUGUGGAUUUUAGUUUUUUUAAAAAAACACAGCCCACAAUAUUAUAUGAAGAAGUCAAUGUCAUAUGGGGAUUUUUCAUAAUCUGUACAUCUAGUUAUCAUUCUACUGAUGUCUACCACAUGUGAAUCACCACGUAAGAAUAUUUUGUUCCUGCUUUUUUGCUUUUCAUAAUUACAUUGCCACUAAAUCCUAACCACUCCCAGCUGUGAAAACAGCAGGCCCAAGGACAGCAGAAGUGAAACAAUUGUUUUGGAAACAUAAAAUGUUCAAAUGUACUAAGCAAAUGAUAACUGGUAUAUCUCAUAAAUGUUGCUAUGAACUCGAAUUGUAUUAUAUGAAAAUAUUUCUGUUUUAAUGGCAAAUCUGGGUAGACAUGAUUUGGGGCCUGUAAUUAGCAUAUAAAUUCCAGAGCUUGUGACUGCUGUGAAAACACACAAUAUUUAUGGAACGAUUAUCUAAAUUUAAUUCAGUGUUUUCUGCUUUCAGUGACUACUGUAAAAUCUGAUUUAAUAAAGAGAAAAUGGUUAGGUCAUGGAUUUCUAAUAUUACACCAUCAGCUCAUUCCACCUGCUACUAAUUUCAAUCAAUAUUUUGUUACGACUGCAAAGUUUCUUCACUGGCAUAAAAAGUAGAAAUAUAUUUCUGUAUAUAUUUCUGUAAAAAUAAUGUUUCCAGCAACUGAUUAAGGUAUCGAUGUGUAGUAUAUGAGAAACUGCAAAACAUGCUUGGCUCCAUACCUCAGCUAGUUAAAUUAAAAGCUUCUGUCCUUG